rnacentral:rRNA from 1 species
UGCCAGCAGCCGCGGUAAUACGGGGGGAGCAAGCGUUGUCCGGAUUCAUUGGGCGUAAAGGGUGCGUAGGCGGUUUAUCAAGUCAGAUGUGAAAUUCCCAGGCUUAACUUGGGGCGUGCAUUUGAAACUGGUGAACUUGAGUACAGGAGAGGUAAGUGGAAUUCCUAGUGUAGCGGUGAAAUGCGUAGAUAUUAGGAGGAACACCAGUGGCGAAGGCGACUUACUGGACUGUCACUGACGCUGAGGCACGAAAGCGUGGGGAGCAAACAGGAUUAGAUA